UUUCAUUAUACUUAGAUUUGCCAGAAAAGUUGAUGCAACAUAUUAUUCUUGGAGAUACAAGUGGGUUGCAUUUUAAUGAUGUUUUCAGGAUUACAGAUAAUAUUUGUGCUGUUCAUUCUUUUCCAAUCAUCAAACACCCAAAUUACAAAUGAGAUAGGAGUUUGUAAAGUAGAACUAUUCACGUGCUGUACUGGCUACAGAAGAAAGGAAGAUGGAUGUGAAG